UAUCUUCGGGGCGGGGCGAAAUUCCCCACCGGCGGUUAUAGCCCGCGAGCCUUAUGGCAUGAUUCGGUGUAAUUCCGAAGCCGACAGUAUAGUCUGGAUGUGAGAAGAA
rnacentral:ncRNA from 1 species